AUUGAACGCUGCGGCAUGCUUAACACAUGCAAGUCGAGCGAGCGGCGGACGGGUGAGUAAUGCUUAGGAAUCUGCCUCUUAGUGGGGGACAACAUCUCGAAAGGGAUGCUAAUACCGCAUACUAAUUGAUGCGCCUAAGUUGGAUUAGCUAGUUGGUGGGGUAAUGGCCUACAAAGGCGCCGAUCUGUAGCGGGUCUGAGAGGAUGAUCCGCCACACGGGGACUGAGACACGGCCCAGACUCCUACGGGAGGCAGCAGUGGGGAAUAUUGCACAAUGGGCGCAAGCCUGAUGCAGCCAUGCCGCGUGUGUGAAGAAGGCCUUCGGGUUGUAAAGCACUUUCAGCGGGGAGGCGUUACCCGCAGAAGAAGCACCGGCUAACUCCGUGCCAGCAGCCGCGGUAAUAC
rnacentral:rRNA from 1 species